rnacentral:rRNA from 1 species
UACGUAGGUGGCGAGCGUUGUCCGGAUUUAUUGGGCGUAAAGCGCGCGCAGGUGGUGCGGUAAGUCUGUCGUGAAAUCUCCUGGCUCAACUGGGAGGGUGCGGUGGAGACUGCCGGACUGGAGGCACUCAGAGGCCGGUGGAAUUCCCGGUGUAGUGGUGAAAUGCGUAGAGAUCGGGAGGAACACCAGUGGCGAAGGCGGCCGGCUGGGGUGACCUGACGCUGAGGCGCGAAAGCGUGGGGAGCGAACCGG